UGGCAACGAUUAAGAUAAGCCAUGCUUCUGAUGCUUCGUGCAAUGAAGUAAAUUAAUAGAUGGUUGAAUUUCUUGAAGUGAGCCA
rnacentral:snoRNA from 1 species